rnacentral:rRNA from 1 species
AUACGAAGGGUGCAAGCGUUAAUCGGAAUUACUGGGCGUAAAGCGCGCGUAGGUGGUUUUGUAAGUUGGAGGUGAAAGCCCCGGGCUCAACCUGGGAAUUGCCUCCAAAACUGCAUGACUAGAGUACGGUAGAGGGUAGUGGAAUUUCCUGUGUAGCGGUGAAAUGCGUAGAUAUAGGAAGGAACACCAGUGGCGAAGGCGACUACCUGGACUGAUACUGACACUGAGGUGCGAAAGCGUGGGGAGCAAACAGGAUUAGAUCCCCUGGUAGUCCACGCCGUAAACGAUGUCAACUAGCCGUUGGGAUCCUUGAGAUCUUAGUGGCGCAGCUAACGCAUUAGGUUGACCGCCUGGGGAGUACGGCCGCAAGGUUAAAACUCAAAUGAAUUGACGGGG